AUCGUUCAUCUCUCUAGCUCGAAAGACUAGCUCGAAAGAUUGGAUCCUGGUUGAGCCUAGAGGGACGGAAGUAGGGGUUGAUCCCCCCGAAGGAACGCGCC
rnacentral:ncRNA from 2 species